rnacentral:hammerhead_ribozyme from 1 species
ACUGAGGAGUCCCACAAUAGGACGAAACGGCCGUCCAGUGC